UACAGAGGUGGCAAGCGUUGUUCGGAAUUACUGGGCGUAAAGGGCGCGUAGGCGGCCAUCUAAGUCGGACGUGAAAUCCCCCGGCUUAACCUGGGAACUGCGUCUGAUACUGGACGGCUCGAGUUUGGGAGAGGGAUGCAGAAUUCCAGGUGUAGCGGUGAAAUGCGUAGAUAUCUGGAGGAAUACCGGUGGCGAAGGCGGCAUCCUGGACUAACACUGACGCUGAGGCGCGAAAGCUAGGGGAGCAAACGGG
rnacentral:rRNA from 1 species